CGGGGUGCACCAGGCGCGAAAACUCUACAAUGCAGGCAACUGCGAUAGGGGAACAUCGAGUGAUCCUCAUAUUGGGGGUCUGUCCACUCGUCUAAAAAACGGGUGUUAGCAAGGGCCGGGCAAGACCGGUGCCAGCCGCCGCGGUAAUACCGGCGGCUCGAGUGGUGGCCGAUAUUAUUGAGUCUAAAGGGUCCGUAGCCGGCUUUGCAAGUCUCUCGGGAAAUCCAGCGGCUUAACCGUUGGUCGUCCGGGGGGUACUACAUUGCUUGGGACUGGGAGAGGUAGGAGGUACUCAAGGGGUAGGAGUGAAAUCCUGUAAUCCUUUGGGGACCACCGGUGGCGAAGGCGUCCUACCAGAACAGGUCCGACGGUGAGGGACGAAAGCUAGGGGCACGAACCGGAUUAGAUACUCGGGUAGUCCUAGCCGUAAACGAUGCUCGCUAGGUGUCACGGCAGUCGUGAACUGCCGUGGUGCCGUAGGGAAGCCGUGAAGCGAGCCACUUGGGAAGUACGACCGCAAGGUUGAAACUUAAAGGAAUUGGCGGGGGAGCAC
rnacentral:rRNA from 1 species